AGCUCUUCUCGCAGCGCGGACGGAGAGAGGAGGUUGCGGUGCACAAGCGGCUGCGGAGACCAGAGGCCACAGCCGAAUCGCGGGAAUUUGGCGCCUAUUUUUUGUUGGUUGGGUGUUCUCGUCUGUGAUUGGGCCCCCGCCCCGCGUGGGUGCGCCGGGCUGCGGCUGGCCGGCCGACCCUGGCAAGACGCCGGCGGCGCAGCACUCAGCCGGCCUUCCGGGGGAUGGGCCACCAGGAGCCUCCGCUGGCCCGACUGAGGGCCGGACGUGCGGCUUAUAUAAAAAGGUUACGUAAAGGGCUCAGCUGGCGCGAACACGUGGAGAGCCGCGGGAGCCCGGACGCCCAGCUGUCCCUCGAGAGCACUGCUGCCAUCACUCGUGCAGUAGCAGGCGCCGUCGCACGCCCGACUCGGGCCGCGGCCUCCCGCGCCGCUCCGUACCCGAGGCAGCCCUGUCCAGGGGCGGACCAUCCCCAACCGGGGGCCUUAGGAGGGAAACGCGCUGCCCGGAAGUGGAAGGGCGCCGGCCAGGUCACAAUCCAAGGUCCCGCUCUUCCGCGUCCCGGGGCCGGACGGAGGGAUGAGGCAGGGGGGUCCCGGGCAGCACCGUUGCUGCUCCCCCCGCCGCCCGCAGCCAUGGAAACGGGGGAGGAGGACGGCGCUCGCAGAGGUACACAAAGCCCCGAGCGGAAAAGGCGAAGCCCAGUGCCGCGGGCGCUCAGCGCGAAGCUGAGGCCGGCGGCGGCGGCCCAGGCCAUGGAUCCGGUGGCGGCCGAGGCCCCGGGCGAGGCCUACCUGGCGCGGCGGCGGCCAGAGGGCGGCGGCGGGUCGGCGCGGCCGCGCUACAGCCUGUUGGCGGAGAUCGGGCGCGGCAGCUACGGCGUGGUGUACGAGGCAGUGGCCGGGCGCAGCGGGGCCCGGGUGGCGGUCAAGAAGAUCCGCUGCGACGCCCCCGAGAACGUGGAGCUGGCGCUGGCCGAAUUCUGGGCCCUGACCAGCCUCAAGCGGCGCCACCAGAAUGUCGUGCAGUUUGAAGAGUGCGUCCUGCAGCGCAACGGGCUCGCCCAGCGCAUGAGCCACGGCAACAAGAGCUCGCAGCUUUACCUGCGCCUGGUGGAGACCUCGCUCAAAGGAGAAAGGAUCCUGGGUUAUGCUGAGGAACCCUGCUAUCUCUGGUUUGUCAUGGAGUUCUGUGAAGGUGGAGACCUGAAUCAGUAUGUCCUGUCCCGGAGGCCGGACCCAGCCACCAACAAGAGCUUCAUGCUGCAGCUCACAAGCGCCAUUGCCUUCCUGCACAAAAACCACAUCGUGCACAGGGACCUAAAGCCAGACAACAUCCUCAUCACAGAGCGGUCUGGCACCCCCAUCCUCAAGGUGGCAGACUUUGGACUAAGCAAGGUCUGUGCUGGUCUGGCCCCCCGAGGUAAAGAGGGCAAUCCAGACAACAAAAAUGUGAAUGUGAAUAAAUACUGGCUGUCCUCAGCCUGUGGCUCAGACUUCUACAUGGCCCCUGAAGUCUGGGAGGGACACUACACAGCCAAGGCUGACAUCUUUGCCCUGGGCAUUAUCAUCUGGGCAAUGAUAGAAAGAAUCACUUUCAUUGACUCUGAGACCAAGAAGGAGCUCCUGGGGACCUAUAUCAAACAGGGGACUGAGAUCGUCCCUGUUGGUGAGGCGCUGCUAGAAAACCCAAAGAUGGAGUUGCACAUCCCCCAGAAACGCAGGACUUCCAUGUCUGAGGGGAUCAAGCAGCUCUUGAAAGAUAUGUUAGCUGCUAACCCACAGGACCGGCCUGAUGCCUUUGAACUUGAAACCAGAAUGGACCAGGUCACAUGUGCUGCUUAAAAUUCAGGGCAAAGCAUCUUGGGUGUUUUUCAACUAGCUUUUGUUCUCCAGCCCGCUGAUGGCCUUAAUGGGAGCAGUUUGGUUCCUCAGCUUCCUCGGACAGACCAGACAACUGCUUGGCUGGCAGAGAAAGCUGCCAGAAGGCUGCUCACUGCCUGGUUGGCACCACAUCCCCUUUGUGCUCUGGACCCCAGACCCAUGCAGAAGAGGUACUUCAGCCAAGCCUUCCACAAGCCUUUUCUGAGUUGACCCUCGGGACCCACAGUCUCAUCGUGUCUCGCACAGAGUUCAGCAGAGGGCACAGGUGGUGGCUUGGCCGGUUGGUGAUCUCCUGACAGCCGGGUCUCCAGCAAUGUGAAGCUUUCGUUUGGGUUUUCCCCCUCCUCUUACUUUUGCUUUAUUUUUUAUUUUUUGUCCCCCUGCCUUUGUUUUUUUUUUUUUUUUUUUUUUUUUUUUUAAUUUAAAUGAUUAAGACUUCAGAAGAGCAGGAAGUUAUGCUGUGGACAGGCACCACUUUCUUUAAAGAAACUCAAUAUGGACAAAGCAUAUGUAUAAAUUUCAUUUUUAAUUUUUAUAAGGGGUUAGGGAGCUAUUUUGUUUUUGUCCUUUAUUUUCCCUGUCUUCUUUCUUUUACCCAUCUCUUAGUUCUGCUUAUAACACCUCACUUCCCCAGAGAAGGCCUACCCCUCCGUGGAGAAUCUGGGGACCUCUCCUGGAUCAGGGGGCAUGAGGACAGAAGCAGGCCUCUGUGCCGCCUCCCCACCAGGUGCAGGAACUGCUGGACUCCCUGGUGGGCUGCUGCUGGCUGGCCCUUCGGCCUUGGAGAUGAUCAGAGGCCAAGAACCACCGAGAAGGGGAAGACCAGAGCUUGGCCCGGAGAACUCAAGAAAGAAGAUCCCUGUUUGGAGUUUGUCUUUUUUAAGUGGUUGGAAACCCAGAGUCACACCAGGACUUACAGAGGGAAUUGUUUCCCUCUACUGCCCUUCAUAACCAGGGGUUCUGACAGGGGAGGGCCCGAAGGUGACCAUCUCUUACUCCCCGGUAAUUGAGCGGCCAGCCCACCCCAGCUCUACAGACCUACCUUUCUGUCAGUGAUCUUCCUCCCAGACGAUGAUUCCCUGGGAAAAAAUGUCGUGCCAAACCUCUGCCUAGGAUACAGCAGGGUCUUCAGCUGGCAUCUGUCACUCCUGUGACGUCAGCACCCACCACCUCCUGCCUCCGGGAUCAUCUUCCCAGAUGUGCCCGCCAGAUGUCCAGGGUGUCAGAGCCCCCUGAGACCCAGUUGUGACCAUUGCCAUAAGAACAGGGUGUCCUAAACUGGCUGUUAACUCCUCACAGUGCAGCGUGUGCCCUGUGAGCCAGGCCCCAGGCUGUCAUAUAUGGUGACAAUGCCAAGCGUCGUCUCCCUCCCCGCAGAGCCUUCCUGUUAGGUGCCCACCCUCAGUGUAAACGUGUCUAAGGGAAAGGAUGGACCUGGCUGAGCGGGUGGACCACAGCCAUCAGGUGACUGGGCUUGGUGGCCGUGACUCCCGACCCCACCUCCAGUGUCUGUCUGUGUAGCCUUUCUUCCAUUCUCCAUCCACACUCACACAGCCUCCCUCUUGGGCUUUCGAAGAGGCGUGUCCUCUCCCCUUGCCAGGAGGAGAGCUGUUCCUCUUGCCCCGUACCCAGGAGCCCCUUCAGCUGUUCCACAGGCUUCUCACCCCAGAACAGCAAGGCAAGGAAGGGAAAAGGAGUUCUUUUGUGUUUAUCUUUGUUGUUUUCUCUAACCAGCGUAGAAUGGAUAGGGGGAGAUGUUGGAGGGCAUUUAAGUUGGUAUGUGACCAAGGGGGGCUUCCCCCCAGAGCCACAGUCCUUCCACCCUGGGAGUCUGGAAGAGACCAGCACAGCAUCAGCCCAGAUUUGCAAACUCAGCAGUGUGUUUGCUCACAUUCUUUCCGCCUUUUCUCAAGGCUUCUUCCUCCUUCUGGGCAGAUGGCUGGCUGUGGUUAGCAGGGUCCGGCAAGGCGGCAGGUGGUGACCAGGCCCCUCACUCCCCUGGGGAUGCGCUGAGCUGCAGCUGGAAGAGCGCAGCCCCUAAUUGCAGUUGGUGCCCCUUCUCCGCCCCACCUCCCUGCCCUCCCCUGGGGGCAGCUGUCUGUCCACGAGCACAUGGGGAAGCAGUCCCUGGACUCGGCACCCCCACCUCUCCCUGGCCACAGCCCGCACUCUGAAAUCCUAGCAAGGGUUCACGUCUAACAGGAUAUUUACCUUUUGUUUAUCUUUCCCUUCUGCCCUCCCCAGAUGUCUUAGCUCUGAGUAAGGUCCCAGGUGGCCAUACCUUUUGGGCGAGGUGGGUGGCCUCGGUCAGGUAGCAGCGUCCACGUACCUUGGUCUUGCAGGACUCCCAGCCCAUCCUUGCUUGGUGGCAGGACCUCCUUCCCUAGCUCCUGAGGCCCAGCUUGUUAGCCCCAAGUGCCUGUCUCUCCCCCUCCCCUGCUCUCCACUUCGUCUGCCUCGGCACCCCGCAGCCAGUGGAAGGCAGCCCGAAGUCAAGGCUGGCUCUGCCUGGGUAGCUAGCUGUCUGUGGCUCAGCCACUCUGCAUCUCUUCUCGCUGGGGUCAGCCACCUGUCCCUUCCUGCCUUUUCACCUGGGUCUCGGGCCUGGCAGCUGCCCUGGGGCACAUCAUCUCAGCACCACCAAUUUGUUAGUCCUGUGCAAGUUGUAGAAAUCUCUAGUCCUUAAAAUAACUGUCGGUUGUUCUCUUGGGAUCUGUGGAAAGGAAAGUCUUCGGAGGGAGGAUCUGAGCUUCAUUCUCCCUCAGUGAGAGGAAUCAACAAGACAGAUCAUAGUGCCUUAUUCCAUUGCCCUCUCCGCCAGACCGUCUGGCUUAGUACAUGGCUUCUGUCUCCCUGUCUGUGUCCAUCUGUCCUUUAAACUCACUCCCCCACACACAUAGCCACGUGGGAGGAUGGCUUCCCCGCGACCUCCCCAUCCCUUCCUCAGCUGUAGCCAGCCAUGUGUCCCCACCCACCACAGGGCACAACUAGCAGCUUCGCCGAGGACAGAGCUGUGCUGUAGACGGGUGUGCGCUCUGCCCUCCUCCCCAGCAGAUCCCCACCUCUUCCCUCCAGCCAGGAGGAUGCACGUCUCUUUCUUCUAGGCCUUCAAGGCCAGCUCCAUCUGACACCCUCCUGGGCACAGGGACUAAGGCCGUGGACCUUAGCCUCCUCUCAUCCAGAGGCAAUGGGUCAAAAGUGGAAUUCUUUCCCCUAACCCGCUGUGAUUCGUGCCCCCAUGGCUGCCUUUCUGAGGGAGUGUAUUCAAUGUUUACUUAAGAAAUACCCUGUUUACAGCUGGAGGAGAAACUUGCCCGUUGCUGGGUGGAGAUUUGACUCUCUGUACGGCUCCUGGCCUCCUUUGUGGCACUGCCCAUGGUGACCCCAGAGCGAAUGAAGGCAGGGGGCCAGGGCUGGGGCACAGGCCCCACAACCCCUCUGCCCCUGACCCUGCGGUGCUAAGACCACUUGCCACCUUCCUCACAGCCUUCAUUCCCCGCCUCUCAUUCCCUUCUUCCAAGAUCUCUCUCCUUAACAUAUCAGUUAUUUCCUAGAAAACCAGUGUUUGGAGCAAUAAGAUUUUUUUUUUUUUUUUUGCUUGAGUCCUUUUCUAAAAAAAAGGAAAAGAGCAGACAUUGUGGGAAUCUUCUUUCUUUUCCUGCUGUUGCUGUUUACCUUUUUAGAAAACAGCUCUAACUUGGAUGGAUAUCUGGGUUUCAGCCUCAGGUUAUCCUUAGGAAGCUUGGAGAGGUAGGAUCAGGCCUCCACUCCCUAACUCUCUGCUCCUGCCGCCCAGGCUCCCAGCCCUGCCUACCAAAUGCGCGCCCACCUUUACUCCUCUGUGCCGACCUCUCCCUGCCUGUCUUGGCUCUGCCUCUAAGUGGGACUUUUAGGUUCUUGUCCCUUCCCCAUCCUGAGCCUGGGCAGGGGGCCCAGCCGCUGGAGUCUCCAAGACCUGGUAACCUGAGAAGAGCUGAGUUGUGCGGCUCCAGGCUCCAGACCCCUGGCUUGGGGCUGAGGCGCAGCCUUAGGGACAGUGUGGGCCAUUUCCGAUCCUGCCCUGCCAGGCUUCAGUGGCCAGGCCAUCUGGAGAGAAGGCACUGGGAGUGGAGCACCAGGAUGUGUCAUGAGGUUGGCUAAUGUCAGCACACAUAGUCAAGGGCUGAGUCCGCUGCCAGUGGCUCCCAGAGUCCCUAAGAUUAGGGGGUAAACAGGAAGGAGACCCCUGCAUCUUUUUCCCUGAGAGGCUUCAGGAGGAAGGGACAUUUUAAAGAAGUCUUUGUUCUCCCGGUGCCUCUUUCCAUCAGAGCAGGGAGGAUGUUGGAGUGAUUUACAUUCGUGUGGGGCCAGCUUGGGUGCAAGGGAGGUUUUAACCCAGGCACAAGGUUAGUUUCAAAGACUAGUUAAUCUAUUUUCUUUGUUUUCUUUUUUUUUUGCACAGAAGCUGGUAAUCUAGGACCUACGUGUGAACAACUUUAUAUAUGAAUAUUUUUUGUACUUGGUUUACUUGGGUUGGUAUGAUACAUUAUAUUUAAGUUCCUUGAACACUGUGGAUCCCCCUAAUGUGUAUGAAUGACUGAGGCUUUGUAAAUUAAGGGACGUUUGUGUGAAUAAAGUUAUUUGAUGGGGUCAAAGAAGCCAUAUGUGAUUUGAAAA